rnacentral:rRNA from 1 species
GAUGAACGCUGGCGGCGUGCCUAAUACAUGCAAGUCGAGCGAACAGACGAGGAGCUUGCUCCUCUGACGUUAGCGGCGGACGGGUGAGUAACACGUGGAUAACCUACCUAUAAGACUGGGAUAACUUCGGGAAACCGGAGCUAAUACCGGAUAAUAUAUUGAACCGCAUGGUUCAAUAGUGAAAGACGGUUUUGCUGUCACUUAUAGAUGGAUCCGCGCCGCAUUAGCUAGUUGGUAAGGUAACGGCUUACCAAGGCAACGAUGCGUAGCCGACCUGAGAGGGUGAUCGGCCACACUGGAACUGAGACACGGUCCAGACUCCUACGGGAGGCAGCAGUAGGGAAGCUUCCGCAAUGGGCGAAAGCAUGACGGAGCAACGCCGCGUGAGUGAUGAAGGUCUUCGGAUCGUAAAACUCUGUUAUUAGGGAAGAACAAAUGUGUAAGUAACUAUGCACGUCUUGACGGUACCUAAUCAGAAAGCCACGGCUAACUACGUG